UACGUAGGGUCCGAGCGUUGUCCGGAAUUAUUGGGCGUAAAGAGCUCGUAGGCGGUUUGUCGCGUCUGCUGUGAAAUCCUGAGGCUCAACCUCGGGCGUGCGAUGGAUACUGCCGGGCUAGAGGGUGGUAGAGGCGAGUGGAAUUCCCGGUGUAGCGGUGAAAUGCGCAGAUAUCGGGAGGAACACCAGUAGCGAAGGCGGCUCGCUGGGCCACACCUGACGCUGAGACGCGAAAGCUAGGGGAGCGAACAGG
rnacentral:rRNA from 1 species